UUACUCUGGUUUCCUUUCGACACAAAUUAAUAUUUCGCCUUUUACUGAAAAUUACCGUGGAGGAUUAAUUCCGCUGCAUUAUUUAAAAAUUUGAAAUUUUUUGAUUACGAAUGAC